GACGAACGCUGGCGGCGUGCUUAACACAUGCAAGUCGAACGGAAAGGCCCUGCUUUUGUGGGGUGCUCGAGUGGCGAACGGGUGAGUAACACGUGAGUAACCUGCCCUUGACUUUGGGAUAACUUCAGGAAACUGGGGCUAAUACCGGACAGGAGCCCCCGCUGCAUGGUGGGGGUUGGAAAGUUUCGGCGGUUGGGGAUGGACUGGCGGCUUAUCAGCUUGUUGGUGGGGUAGUGGCUUACCAAGGCUUUGACGGGUAGCCGGCCUGAGAGGGUGACCGGCCACAAUGGGACUGAGAUACGGCCCAGACGGCUACGGGAGGCAGCAGUGGGGAAUAUUGCACAGUGGGCGGGAGCCUGAUGCAGCAGCGCCGCGUGCGGGAUGACGGCCUUCGGGUUGUAAACCGCUUUCGCCUGUGACGAAGCGUGAGUGACGGUAAUGGGUAAAGAAGCACCGGCUAACUACGUG
rnacentral:rRNA from 1 species